ACUCAAAGGAAUUGACGGGGACCCGCACAAGCAGUGGAGCAUGUGGUUUAAUUCGAUGCAACGCGAAGAACCUUACCUGGAUUUGACAUGCUCGUGACGACAUUAGAGAUAAUGUUUUCUCGCAAGAGACGCGAGCACAGGUGCUGCAUGGCUGUCGUCAGCUCGUGCCGUGAGGUGUUGGGUUAAGUCCCGCAACGAGCGCAACCCUUGUCGUUAGUUGCCAGCGAGUAAUGUCGGGCACUCUAACGAGACUGCCUGGGUUAACCAGGAGGAAGGUGAGGAUGACGUCAAGUCCGCAUGGCCUUUAUGUCCAGGGCUACACACGUGCUACAAUGGCAGGUACAGAAGGCAGCAAAACCGAGAGGUGGAGCAAAUCCCAAAAGCCUGCCCCAGUUCAGAUUGAAGUCUGCAACUCGACUUCAUGAAGAUGGAAUUGCUAGUAAUGGCGAGUCAGCAACAUCGCCGUGAAUACGUUCCCGGGUCUUGUACACACCGCCCGU
rnacentral:rRNA from 1 species